rnacentral:rRNA from 1 species
UGGGGAAUAUUGGACAAUGGGCGCAAGCCUGAUCCAGCAAUGCCGCGUGUGUGAAGAAGGCCUUCGGGUUGUAAAGCACUUUAAGUUGGGAGGAAAGCCUUUUCAUUAAUACUGAAGAGGGGUGACGUUACCAACAGAAUAAGCACCGGCUAACUCCGUG